rnacentral:rRNA from 1 species
CAAUAGCGUAUAUUUAAGUUGUUGCAGUUAAAAAGCUCGUAGUUGGAUUUCGGAUGGGACUUGCCGGUCCGUCGUUUCGAUGUGCACUGGCCAGUCCUAUCUUGUUGUCGGGGACUAGCUCCUGGGCUUCACUGUCCGGGACUAGGAGCUGACGAGGUUACUUUGAGUAAAUUAGAGUGUUCAAAGCAAGCCUACGCUCUGAAUACAUUAGCAUGGAAUAACACGAUAGGACUCUGGCUUAUCUUGUUGGUCUGUGAGACCAGAGUAGUGAUUAAGAGGGACAGUCGGGGGCAUUCGUAUUUCAUUGUCAGAGGUGAAAUUCUUGGAUUUAUGAAAGACGAACUUCUGCGAANGNAUUUGUNAAGGAUGUUUNCAUUA